GCUAGGCACGGUAGCGUGUCCAUGAAGUCGCUGCUACACGGGAGGCUGAGGUGGGAGGAUCGCUUGAGCGCAGAAGUUCUGGGCUGCAGUGCACUACCCGGACUGGGCGUCAACACUAAGCCUGGCAUCCAUAUUAUUACCUCCUGAAGGGAGGGAGGGACCACCAGGUUGCCUAAGGAGGGGCGAACUGGUCCCAGUUGGAAAUGGCGCAGGUCAGAAUUCCCUUGCUGAUCGGUAGUGGGAUCAAACCUGUGAACGCCACUGCACUGCAACCUGGCAACACAGCAAGGCCUCAUCUCU
rnacentral:SRP_RNA from 1 species